GAGGCAAGCCUGGGGCCUGGGGCCUGGCGCGGUGCCUGCUUGGGUCCGGUGUGCCUGCAGGCUCGCCUCCUGCCGCCUGGCUCUGCCCCGGCCCUGCCGCGCCCACCUCCGGGGCCUGGCGUGCAACCUCGGCCUGGCCGCCGCUCCCACGCCCGCGCUGCUCCUGCAGGCCGACGGGAAUGGCUGCGCUUCCAGGAGGCCGAGUACAAGUUCUUUGAGCACCACUCCACGUGGGCGCAGGCGCAGCGCAUCUGCACGUGGUUCCAGGCCGAGCUGACCUCCGUGCACAGCCAGGAGGAGCUAGACUUCCUGGGCCACAACCUGCAGAAGUUCUCCCGGGCCCAGGAGCAGCACUGGUGGAUCGGCCUGCACACGUCUGAGAGCGAUGGGCGCUUCAGAUGGACAGAUGGUUCCAUUAUAAACUUCAUCUCCUGGGCACCAGGCAAACCUCGGCCUGUCGGCAAGGACAAGAAGUGCGUGUACAUGACAGCCAGCCGAGAGGACUGGGGGGACCAGAGGUGCCUGACAGCCUUGCCCUACAUCUGCAAGCGCAGCAACAUCACCAAAGAAACGCAGCCCCCAGACCUGCCAACUACAGCCCUGGGGGGCUGCCCCUCUGGCUGGAUCCAGUUCCUCAACAAGUGUUUUCAGGUCCAGGGCCAGGACCCCCAGAGCCGGGUGAAGUGGUCAGAGGCACAGUUCUCCUGUGAACAGCAAGAGGCCCAGCUGGUCACCAUCACAAACCCCUUAGAGCAAGCAUUCAUCACAGCCAGCCUGCCCAAUGUGACCUUUGACCUUUGGAUUGGCCUCCAUGCCUCACAGAGGGACUUCCAGUGGGUGGAGCAGGAGCCUCUGAUGUAUGCCAACUGGGCACCUGGGGAGCCCUCUGGCCCUAGCCCUGCUCCCAGUGGCAACAAACCGACCAGCUGUGCGGUGGUCCUGCACAGCCCCUCAGCCCAAUUCACUGGCCGCUGGGACGAUCGGAGCUGCACGGAGGAGACCCAUGGCUUCAUCUGCCAGAAGGGCACGGACGCCUCCCUGAGCCCGUCCCCAGCAGCGCUGCCCCCCGCCCCGGGCACUGAGCUCUCCUACCUCAACGGCACCUUCCGGCUGCUUCAGAAGCCGCUGCGCUGGCACGAUGCCCUCCUGCUGUGUGAGAGCCGCAAUGCCAGCCUGGCCUACGUGCCCGACCCCUACACCCAGGCCUUCCUCACGCAGGCUGCCCGAGGGCUGCGCACGCCGCUCUGGAUCGGGCUGGCUGGCGAGGAGGGCUCUCGGCGGUACUCCUGGGUCUCAGAGGAGCCGCUGAACUACGUGGGCUGGCAGGACGGGGAGCCGCAGCAGCCGGGGGGCUGUACCUACGUGGAUGUGGACGGGGCCUGGCGCACCACCAGCUGUGACACCAAGCUGCAGGGGGCUGUGUGCGGGGUUAGCAGUGGGCCCCCUCCUCCCCGAAGAAUAAGCUACCAUGGCAGCUGUCCUCAGGGACUGGCAGACUCCGCGUGGAUCCCCUUCCGGGAGCACUGCUAUUCUUUCCACAUGGAGCUGCUGCUGGGCCACAAGGAGGCGCGACAGCGCUGCCAGAGAGCGGGCGGGGCAGUCCUGUCUAUUCUGGAUGAGAUGGAGAAUGUGUUUGUCUGGGAGCACCUGCAGAGCUAUGAGGGCCAGAGUCGGGGCGCCUGGCUGGGCAUGAACUUCAACCCCAAAGGAGGCACCCUGGUCUGGCAGGACAACACAGCUGUGAACUACUCUAACUGGGGGCCCCCGGGCUUGGGCCCCAGCAUGCUGAGCCACAACAGCUGCUACUGGAUUCAGAGCAACAGCGGACUAUGGCGCCCCGGCGCUUGCACCAACAUCACCAUGGGUGUCGUCUGCAAGCUUCCUCGUGCUGAGCAGAGCAGCUUCUCCCCAUCAGCGCUUCCAGAGAACCCGGCGGCCCUGGUGGUGGUGCUGAUGGCGGUGCUGCUGCUCCUGGCCUUGCUGACCGCGGCCCUCAUCCUUUACCGGAGGCGCCAGAGCAUCGAGCGCGGGGCCUUUGAGGGUGCCCGCUACAGCCGCAGCAGCUCCAGCCCCACUGAGGCCACUGAGAAGAACAUCUUGGUGUCAGACAUGGAAAUGAAUGAGCAGCAAGAAUAGAGCCAGGCGCGUGGGCAGGGCCAGGGCGGGAGGAGCUGGGGAGCUGGGGCCCUGGGUCAGUCUGGCCCCCCACCAGCUGCCUGUCCAGUUGGCCUAUGGAAGGGUGCCCUUGGGAGUCGCUGUUGGGAGCCGGAGCUGGGCGGGGCCUGGGCUGGUGGGGUGCCACCCUCCCACAAGGGCUGGGCUGAGACCCAGCUGAGUGCAGCGUGGCGUUUCCCUUUCUGGGGGGGCCUGAGGUCUUGUCACCUGGGCCUGUGCCCCCACAGUAACCAGAGGUAGGAUGGGAGGGGGAACGAGAGCCUCUUUCUCCCCAGAGCCCCCGGCCCAGGCCUGUUGAUCCGCGCCCCAGGACCCCCUUCUUUGCAGAGCCUGAGGAGCCUCCCCUGUCCCCUUGGGCAGAUCUGUUGCGUCUCUUUUCCCACCUGGCAGCCUCAGCUCUGUGCCCCUCACCCUGCUCCCUCUCGCCCCUUCUCUCCCACCCCUUCCUUCUGAGCCGGGCCCUGGGGAUUGGGGAGCCCUCUUGUUCCUGGUGAGGGUCAGCUGAGGGGGCUGAGCAUCCAUCACUCCUGUGCCUGCUGCUGGGGUGGCUGUGGGGCCUGGCAGGAGGGGCCUAGGCGGGUUGGGCCUGAAAACCAGGGCACAGGUGUGGUGUCUGCUGGGCUGGAGACAAGACUGGGGAGAGACACCCCAACCUCCCAGGGUGGGAGCUGGGCUGGGCUGGGGUGUCAUCUCCUGCCGGGCGGGGGAGGGCUCUGCCCCUGGAAGAGUCCCCUGUGGGGACCAAAAUAAGUUCCCUAACAUCUCCAGCUCCUGGCUCCGGUUUGGAGCAAGGGGAGGGGUUGCCAGAGUCCUGGGGGCCCCAGAGGAGCAGGAGUCUGGGAGGGCCCGGAGUUCCCACCCUCUAGUGGCUCCAGGAGGAGCAGCACCUGAUCCCUGGAGUGGCCUAGUACCCUUCUAAGAGGCCACAGUCCCAGCCAGGACGAAGUAUGCGGCCUAUCCUGGUGUGACAGCGUGGGACAAUGUGAACAUGGACUCGAAGACAUGGCCUUUUCUCUGUAGUUGAUUUUUAAAAUGUGCCAUUAUUGUUUUUUAAAAAAAAGGAAAAAA
rnacentral:sRNA from 1 species